rnacentral:rRNA from 1 species
UACGGAGGGUGCGAGCGUUGUCCGGAAUCACUGGGCGUAAAGGGCGCGUAGGCGGUUCGUUAAGUUGCUGGGGAAAUCCCGGGGCUCAACUCCGGGGCUGCCAGUAAGACUGGCGGGCUAGAGCACGGUAGAGGCAGAUGGAAUUCCCGGUGUAGCGGUGGAAUGCGUAGAUAUCGGGAAGAAUACCGGUGGCGAAGGCGUUCUGCUGGGCCGUUGCUGACGCUGAGGCGCGACAGCGUGGGAGCAAACAGG